rnacentral:rRNA from 1 species
CCUACGGGAGGCUGCAGUGAGGAAUAUUGGUCAAUGGACGAGAGUCUGAACCAGCCAAGUAGCGUGAAGGAUGACUGUCCUAUGGGUUGUAAACUUCUUUUAUAUGGGAAUAAAAUGUUCCACGUGUGGGACUUUGUAUGUACCAUAUGAAUAAGGCUCGGCUAACUCCGUGCCAGCAGCCGCGGUAAUACGGAGGAUCCGAGCGUUAUCCGGAUUUAUUGGGUUUAAGGGGAGCGUAGGUGGAUUGUUAAGUCAGUUGUGAAAGUUUGCGGCUCAACCGUAAAAUUGCAGUUGAAACUGGCAGUCUUGAGUACAGGAGAGGUGAGCGGAAUUCGUGGUGUAGCGGUGAAAUGCUUAGAUAUCACGAAGAACUCCGAGUGCGAAGGCAGCUCACUGGACUGCAACUGACACUGAGGCUCGAAAGUGUGGGUAUCAAACAGGAUUAGAUACCCCAGUAGUC